GUAGCAGAUGCAAUGCUAAUGAUCUUGGGGACGAAUCAUGAGGCACUAAGGCACAGCCAUAUUGAUGGCUUUUGGGAAGAUAAUUGCCGGCCGAUGGAGCCAAGCCGUGAUAAAAAGGAAAAUGCUAAGUUGAUAAAGUAGAUCGAUGAAUUGAGAUAUUAGGUUGAAGCAUGAGCUUGAUGUGGCAAGUAAACUCAAUAGUGCAAGAUAUCAUGGUU
rnacentral:lncRNA from 1 species